UAUCUUCGGAUAUGAGUAGAGCGGCGGACGGGUGAGUAACGCGUAGGAAUCUACCUAGUAGAAGGGGAUAGCCCGGGGAAACCCGGAUUAAUACCGUAUACCUCCUUCGGGAGAAAGAAGGCCUCUCUUUGAAGCUUUCGCUAUUAGAUGAGCCUGCGUAAGAUUAGCUUGUUGGUGAGGUAAAGGCUCACCAAGGCGACGAUCUUUAGCUGGUCUGAGAGGACGAUCAGCCACAUUGGGACUGAGACACGGCCCAGACUCCUACGGGAGGCAGCAGUGGGGAAUAUUGGACAAUGGGCGCAAGCCUGAUCCAGCCAUACCGCGUGUGUGAAGAAGGCCUUCGGGUUGUAAAGCACUUUAAGCAGGGAGAAAAAGUUAUAAGUUAAUACCUUAUAACCGUGAUGUUACCUGCAGAAUAAGCACCGGCUAAUUCCGUGCCAGCAGCCGCGGUAAU
rnacentral:rRNA from 1 species